GGCAGGGAGGAAGGGGAAAUAUUUGUUGUAGCUAACUAGUGAAAUGGUUCGCAGAAGAUGAAAUUCGGAUGAAACAAACCAGAAAACCCAGAGAGAUUAUUCUGCAAGGAAUUAUCUUUCNNNNNNCAGUGGGUAUUUUUUUCUUUUUUUUUUUUUUUUGAGAAAAUCCAUUUUGCAAAAAGAUGUAAAAAUGAAUAUCAUAAUGCAAAAAGUUCAUUGGUGCUUUAGAAACAC
rnacentral:misc_RNA from 1 species